rnacentral:ncRNA from 1 species
GGGAAUUUUCCGCAAUGGGCGAAAGCCUGACGGAGCAAUGCCGCGUGGAGGUGGAAGGCCUACGGGUCGUCAACUUCUUUUCUCGGAGAAGAAACAAUGACGGUAUCUGAGGAAUAAGCAUCGGCUAACUCUGUGCCAGCAGCCGCGGAAAGACAGAGGAUGCAAGCGUUAUCCGGAAUGAUUGGGCGUAAAGCGUCUGUAGGUGGCUUUUCAAG